UACGUAGGGCGCAAGCGUUGUCCGGAAUUAUUGGGCGUAAAGAGCUCGUAGGCGGCUUGUCGCGUCGGAUGUGAAAGCCCGGGGCUUAACUCCGGGUCUGCAUUCGAUACGGGCAGACUAGAGUUCGGUAGGGGAGAUCGGAAUUCCUGGUGUAGCGGUGAAAUGCGCAGAUAUCAGGAGGAACACCGGUGGCGAAGGCGGAUCUCUGGGCCGAUACUGACGCUGAGGAGCGAAAGCGUGGGGAGCGAACAGG
rnacentral:rRNA from 1 species